CGGGGCGUAGCGCAGCCUGGUAGCGCGCCUGGUUCGGGACCAGGAGGCCGUUGGUUCAAAUCCAAUCGCCCCGACCA
rnacentral:tRNA from 1 species